GCACUUUUGGGUUAACAAUGAUUGUAUUUAAAAUUAAGGUGUAACAAGUAAAUAUCAUAAUUGAUCUCUUGGUAAAUAUACCAACUUCUGGGUGAACAUCAUAAAUCUGUACAUCAACAGUGUAUUCUGUUAUAACCAAACAGAAGAAAGUGCCAUUUAUGUUUAAUUGUUAUCAAUUUAAUUUAAUCACAAUACUUCUGAAAACAAAAUUCAGAUAAUUCUUAAAAAGAAAAAAAAACUGUAACUAAAUGUUAACAAACAACAUUUAUUACAGUUAAAACAAGUUAAUU